UCUACGGGUGGCAGCAGUGAGGAAUAUUGGUCAAUGGACGAGAGUCUGAACCAGCCAUGCCGCGUGAAGGUCAGUGCCCUAUGGGCGUUAAACUUCUUUUGUGCGGGAGCAAUAAUGGUCACGUGUGGCCAGACGAGAGUACCGUACGAAUAAGCAUCGGCUAACUCCGUGCCAGCAGCCGCGGUAAUACGGGGGAUGCAAGCGUUAUCCGGAUUUAUUGGGUUUAAAGGGUGCGUAGGCUGUGAGGUAAGUCAGCGGUGAAAUGCCCCCGCUCAACGGGGUGAAGUGCCAUUGAUACUGCCUGGCUGGAAUGCGGAUGCCGUGGGAGGAAUGUGUGGUGUAGCGGUGAAAUGCAUAGAUAUCACACAGAACACCGAUUGCGAAGGCAUCUCACGAAUCCGCGAUUGACGCUGAUGCACGAAAGCGUGGGUAUCAAACAGGAUUAGAUACCCCUGUAGUC
rnacentral:rRNA from 1 species